CCUUCGGGGUACUCGAGCGGCGAACGGGUGAGUAACACGUGAGCAACCUGCCCUAGGCUUUGGGAUAACCCUCGGAAACGGGGGCUAAUACCGAAUAGGACCUCUGACCGCAUGGUUGGUGGUGGAAAGUUUUUCGGCCUGGGAUGGGCUCGCGGCCUAUCAGCUUGUUGGUGGGGUGAUGGCCUACCAAGGCGACGACGGGUAGCCGGCCUGAGAGGGCGACCGGCCACACUGGGACUGAGACACGGCCCAGACUCCUACGGGAGGCAGCAGUGGGGAAUAUUGCACAAUGGGCGGAAGCCUGAUGCAGCGACGCCGCGUGAGGGAUGACGGCCUUCGGGUUGUAAACCUCUUUCAGCAGGGACGAAGCGUAAGUGACGGUACCUGCAGAAGAAGCGCCGGCCAACUACGUGCCAGCAGCCGCGGUAAGACGUAGGGCGCGAGCGUUGUCCGGAUUUAUUGGGCGUAAAGAGCUCGUAGGCGGCUUGUCGCGUCGACUGUGAAAACCCGCAGCUCAAC
rnacentral:rRNA from 1 species